rnacentral:rRNA from 1 species
UACAGAGGGUGCGAGCGUUAAUCGGAAUUACUGGGCGUAAAGCGCACGUAGGCGGCUUGGUAUGUCGGGUGUGAAAUCCCCGGGCUCAACCUGGGAACUGCAUCCGAAACUGCCAUGCUAGAGUAUGGGAGAGGGAAGUGGAAUUUCCGGUGUAGCGGUGAAAUGCGUAGAUAUCGGAAGGAACAUCAGUGGCGAAGGCGACUUCCUGGACCAAUACUGACGCUCAGGUGCGAAAGCGUGGGGAGCAAACAGG